AACGAACGCUGGCGGCAGGCUUAACACAUGCAAGUCGAGCGCCCCGCCAGGGGAGCGGCAGACGGGUGAGUAACGCGUGGGAACGUACCUUUUGGUUCGGAACAACUCCGGGACACUGGAGCUAAUACCGGAUAAGCCCUAACGGGGAAAGAUUUAUCGCCGAAAGAUCGGCCCGCGUCUGAUUAGCUAGUUGGUGAGGUAACGGCUCACCAAGGCGACGAUCAGUAGCUGGUCUGAGAGGAUGAUCAGCCACACUGAGACUGAGACACGGCCCAGACUCCUACGGGAGGCAGCAGUGGGGAAUAUUGGACAAUGGGCGCAAGCCUGAUCCAGCCAUGCCGCGUGAGUGAUGAAGGCCUUAGGGUUGUAAAGCUCUUUUGUCCGGGAAGAUAAUGACUGUACCGGAAGAAUAAGCCCCGGCUAACUUCGUG
rnacentral:rRNA from 1 species